UACGUAGGGUGCAAGCGUUAAUCGGAAUUACUGGGCGUAAAGCGUGCGCAGGCGGUUGUGCAAGACAGAUGUGAAAUCCCCGGGCUCAACCUGGGAAUGGCAUUUGUGACUGCACGGCUAGAGUGUGUCAGAGGGGGGGUAGAAUUCCAACGUGUAGCGGUGAAAUGCGUAGAGAUCGGGAGGAACACCAGAGGCGAAAGCGGCGGCCUGGACAGUUACUGACACUCAAACUACGGAAAGCGUGGGGAGCAAACAGG
rnacentral:rRNA from 1 species